GUGGCGCGCGGGUGGCCGAAAGGCGAAAGUGAGAUUUCGAGGGCCGGGUGUGGGGCCCCGCGGGCGCGUAGUGCUGCGAUGUGUGGGGAGUACGGGGAGGCUGGAGAGGAGCCGGCCCCGGGCAGUGUGAGGUGCGGAAGCGCGGUCCAGACGCUUUGCUGACGGGAGGCCGGUCCGCCAGAUCCGGGAGGUGGGGCCUCGUUCUGGACUGCUGAAGAAAUUUGGAUACAGAGACAGACAAGCACCAAGAGAAGAUGAUGUGAAUAAACACAGCGAGAACACCAUGUGAAAAUGGAGGACCGGAAUGAAGCAUCUACAAGCCAGGAAAUGUCUGAGGCUACCAGAAGCCAGGAGGGAGGCCUGGAACAGAUCCUGCACUAGAGCCUUCAAAGAGAGCAUGGUCCUGCUGACAUGUUGAUUUUGGACUUCUGGCCUCCAGAGCUGUGAGAAUAAAUUUCAUUUGUUUUAA